UCGAGAAUCUUCGGCAAUGGGCGAAAGCCUGACCGAGCGACGCCGCGUGCGGGAUGAAGGCCUUCGGGUUGUAAACCGCUGUCAGUGGGGAGGAAAUGCUGGAGGGUUCUCCCUUCAGUUUGACCUAUCCGCAGAGGAAGUACGGGCUAAGUUCGUGCCAGCAGCCGCGGUAACACGAACCGUACGAACGUUAUUCGGAAUCACUGGGCUUAAAGGGUGCGUAGGCGGCUUGGUAAGUUGGGUGUGAAAUCCCUCGGCUUAACCGAGGAAUUGCGCUCAAAACUGCCAGGCUAGAGGAAGUCAGAGGUGAGUGGAACUUAGGGUGGAGCGGUGAAAUGCGUUGAUAUCCUAAGGAACACCAGUGGCGAAAGCGACUCACUGGGGCUUUUCUGACGCUGAGGCACGAAAGCUAGGGGAGCGAACGG
rnacentral:rRNA from 1 species